CCUACGGGUGGCAGCAGUGAGGAAUAUUGGUCAAUGGACGAGAGUCUGAACCAGCCAAGUAGCGUGAAGGAUGACUGCCCUAUGGGUUGUAAACUUCUUUUAUAUGGGAAUAAAACGUUCCACGUGUGGGAUUUUGUAUGUACCCUAUGAAUAAGGAUCGGCUAACUCCGUGCCAGCAGCCGCGGUAAUACGGAGGAUCAGAGCGUUAUCCGGAUUUAUUGGGUUUAAAGGGAGCGUAGGUGGAUUGUUAAGUCAGUUGUGAAAGUUUGCGGCUCAACCAUAAAAUUGCAGUUGAAACUGGCAGUCUUGAGUACAGUAGAGGUGGGCGGAAUUCGGGGUGUAGCGGUGAAAUGCUUAGAUAUCACGAAGAACUCCGAUUGCGAAGGCAGUUCACUGGACUGCAACUGACACUGAGGCUCGAAAGUGUGGGUAUCAAACAGGAUUAGAUACCCGGGUAGUC
rnacentral:rRNA from 1 species